AGUGAGAGGAGCGAAUGCGAACAGGGCGGUCUGGGGAGGGGUGAACUGACCGGACGUCUUUCGGUCUGAAAUCGAGCGGCACGCACUGUUAUCAGUUCCAGAGGAGAAGAAAACCAAAAGCCGACGCGACACUCCGACGCCUUCGAACAAGUUACAGUCUGUCAUGUCGCAGACACCCUCACGCGCCAAUCACGAUCAGCGUUGAUCAGGCGACGCAACCCACCCCUUGCCAAUCAUGCCGUGCAGAUCAUCACUCCCACCGUUUCAGAUUUUCGUGCUUCGUCAGCGGUCGCCCGAGUCGGUUGCAUUGUCUCGCGUCCGGUCGGAAUGAAGCCCUCAUGGUUACAAUGAUAGUGUCGUGUCGUGAGUGCUUUCAGCUUGGCGUCGGGCAAUUGGAUAACUCUCACCUGAAUCCCGUGCCCGUGUUGUGACCUGCUGUUUGGACGCAAAAGUAGCAGUUGAAAUUACAAGCUCCUUCAAUUAAGGUAAGCCUAUGAAAUUUAAUCUACGUGUAAUUUAUCAACACAUUGACGCGGCGAAUUCUUCUC
rnacentral:lncRNA from 1 species